AUACGGAGGAUCCAAGCGUUAUCCGGAUUUAUUGGGUUUAAAGGGUGCGCAGGCGGCCUUAUAAGUCAGUGGUGAAAUCUCCCGGCUCAACCGGGAAACUGCCAUUGAUACUGUAAGGCUAGAAUACAGACGAGGUAGGCGGAAUGUAGCAUGUAGCGGUGAAAUGCUUAGAUAUGCUACAGAACACCGAUCGCGAAGGCAGCUUACCAGACUGUAGUUGACGCUAAGGCACGAAAGCGUGGGGAGCGAACAGGAUUAGAAACCCCAGUAGUCC
rnacentral:rRNA from 1 species